UGCUGUUACAGCGGCUCGGGCUCCCGGCUCCUCCCCUUUUCCCUGUCUGGAGUUGGGGCUGUUCCGGAGGCUGCGCCUCUUAUUGGUCCCCAAGCUGGGGCUCCGCCUCUUCAAGGCGGGGCAGACCCGAGAGCCUCACGUGACUCGCACUUACUUCGGUACAUUAAACACUAGGGUGGGAGGAGAGUGCCGUGUUUCUUAAAAGGGCGAUGAUGCCGCUGCGUAGUGGGACCACCUCUUCCUGGGCCUUUUCACCCAUAGCUCUUUUUACCUGGGAGGAAGAGGAGGGUUAGUCGAUCCGCUCCUUCGGUCUGAUGGAAGAGAGCGGGGAACUGCAAAGGACUUCUGCCACUAGCCCCAGCAGAACACCCUGGGUGCUACAGUCCAUCCUGAGGACUAGGAGAAAAGGCCCUGCUGUUCUCCAAGACAGACAACCAGGCCUAGCACGGAGGACCUGGAGCUGAGAAUGUUAACAGAUCUUAUCAACAGGACACUGGAGAUAGACAACUGUGACGGAGCAGCUCCUGGGCGCUCUCCUGAGCAACAGACGCGCCGUUGUGAUGCAACUGUGGGAAAAGCCUGUGCAGUCUGGGGCUUGAGGCGCUGGAAACUCACUGGGUCCCCAUGGGGCUGCCUGGCUCUGCCACAAAUAAUAACAGGAUGGUUACAAUGCCAGUAGUAAUGAUAACACCACUACCAGCAGAAGCACUACCUCUUCCAUGUGCCAGGCACUGGGCUAAGGGCUUGACUGGCAUCAUUUCAGUGAGCCCUCCUGGCGGUCUUGCAGAGGAGGUAACUGUCACCCCCAUUUUGCAAAUGAGCAGGUGUUGAGAGGAGAUAAGGCUCCUGGACUUUAGAACAGUGAUCUGACCCCAUUGUGGUACCAGAUACAUUCUUCCGGCCUGGGGAAAACACCCCAAUUCUAGAAGCCUUAUAUACUCAGGACUAACUCUUCUCUUUCCUCUGAUGGGGGAGGUGAAGGUGACUUUGGCUUCUACCAAUGGCUGAGAAGACCAGUCAUCCCAACCCAACCAGCCACACACCUCCUCAAGAGGAACAGCCCUGCUCAGCUCAAGAGGGCUGAAGUCCUGAGCAUCAAAGGCACCCAGCUGCUCAAAAACCAAGUUGGCCACUUGGAAAGGAAGGCAAACCAUACCCAAAGAUCAUGUCCAAGUGGGAACAGCAAGGCACAUUUACAGGCCAGCUUAGUAAAUGCAUACAUAAGGCAACAGUUACUCUAGCCCAGAAAACAGCAAUAGAAAUAACAGUAAUAAUACGGAAAAUGACAAUACUACUCAGUAAUGUCUGCACUCACCAAGAGCUGGGCAUAAAAUGCUUAUGUUUGUGCACAAAUAGCCUGUAGAGGGAGGAGGCUCUCUAGAGAGCAGCUAACUCCUCUGGGAAUCUUCUGAAACUAUGGAGAUGUCAUCCAGACGUUCUAAAUCGGAAUACCCCGACAAGGCCAAGGCACCUGCAUUUUUGAGGCACCCCAGGAAUCGUGGAGUGGAGAAUACUCAGACACACACAGGGGGAGGGGUUUUGGGCACAGGUUUAACCAACAGAGGUGAGUUGGUGGCUGCAGCUUUACCAUCAUCUAAUUGGCCAAGCUGUGAGGGGAAUAGUGGCUCUGCUCCCCACCUCAACCUCCACUCUUGGAAUCCAGACCAACAGCCUUCUCCAAGGUGUUCACACCAGAGGCGGAAAUGUGUUGUUUAUAGGGCAGGGCCUGCCAAGGAACUGCUCUGGCGCCCACAAUGGCCAAGGAGGCGGCAGGAUGAGGAUGCAGUCCGGUCUGUGUACCCCCAACUCCAAUGGGUCAGACGAAAGCCAGAAAACAGCUUGGAGACCCCCCAGACUUGGGAGCAGAGGGUGUCUCUGCCAUGCCUUUUCCCCAAGAGAUAACAGUCCUGGGCUGGUAGCCAGAACAAAGUGCCAGGGCUGGGCGCAAGGGCUUCCAAGGCUGUUGAGGCUGAUGUAAGAAAGUCAUCCUGGCCCUCCUCAUUCAGCUGGGAUCAACAGGGAGCGUUCAAGUAGCAGCCAAGAAAACAGAAGUCUGGAGCUCUUCACGUAUGUGGGCCUGCUGUAUUCAGCUCCUUCCUACUCCUUCUGUCCCCAACAGGCCUGGUACACAAGGGCCAAGGAGACACCCCUGCUCUUGGGAGAGUGAGUGAGAGACUCCUGUGGGGGGAAAGGGUCAGUCCCCUGCAUGUUGGGGAACCCCCUCCAGAGGGGCCUGGCACCAUUCUUGAUCCAGUGGAGUGGCCCUUCCUCGGUGAUGAGCCUGACGCCAGGCCUCCAUGAGGUCCUGCAGACUCCUGGUAGACCAGCAGCGCCACAGGGAGCCUGAGAGGCCCCCAAGUAAUUACAAGCCUGGAUUCCCACAAGCUAGGGAGCUGCCUGUGACCACAAUGGCAAGACCCUAAAGGGGAAGGCAGGCUGGCAGUCAGAAGCAGAAAGUGCUGACUGCUUUGGGGGUGGGGAGGAGGGCUGCUGUGGGUGUUGGCUCCAUGGCUGAGGACUGGCUGGGGGCAGAGUCAGAGGGUUUCCCAGAGCUCCCUGGAAAGGGCCUGAGAAACCCCUCGGUGAGUUGAGGGUGCAUGCUUGGGGAGUGGGGCCCCAGCCAGCCUUCCUGGGAGCUCCCCUGUGAGCUGGCCCAUGGUGGACCACACUAAUGAGCCCAUAACACAGGCCUUUGAUUAAGCAGCUCCCAGCACAGCAACUUUAUUGAAACAUGCCGAGGCAGCGGCUGGUUCCCACCGCUCUGGUUCCCUGGGCAACAGUGCAUGGGAGGGGCCAUGCCCAGUGCUUCAGUUGCCUGAGGGGCUGCCCAAGGGUGAGGGGAAUGGACCUGGGAGCACAACACCAGUAGCUCUGGGAUAAGGGGCCCUGGGACUGGGGUUGGGGGUCAGAACUCUGGGGGCACGGAGGGGCAAUGUCACAUCUGCUGAGUCCUUUGGGGGCCAGGGCUCCUGGGCUGCUGAGAAUGGAAAUGGUGAGCAUCCCUUCCUCAGGGUAGGAAGGUAUUCCAAGAAUGGCAAGACUCCAAGGACAGGUUCAGAGGUGAAGAUGUAAGAUGUAACGGGAGAAUUUCUUCUUGAGUUUGGAGAGUCUCUGGUCCCUACUUUCCUAAGAAAAUGUUCUUGAACCUUCAAUACACAUAAGUGCUACCUGAGGACACUUCUGAGACCUGUGAGCACAGUCACCUACUGGGAAUGAUGACCUGUGAACUCGGCUCUCAGGGGAUGCUGGGUUCUCCUGCUGGGGCCCUACCUCCCCCUUCCUUGUCAGUUCUGCCCAGGUAGGAGGCAGCCCUCCUUCUCUCCAUGGAGGCAGCCUGGCUUUGGAGGACAUAGCUGGGGGUGAUGGGGAGGUCCUUUCCACUUGUGCAGUCCUAGUUUCAAAUGUUACACUUCAGAGCUUUUGCUACAGUAACUACCAACACUACAUGGACAGAACUCUAAUGUUACCAAGUGGGACUUUUAAAAUGUAUUUAUAACUUUAUGGUUCAAAGUAAUUUUGUUAUGAAACAAUGUAAUAACAACAGUGGAAAAAGGCAAGAUAAUUUAUGGAACACAAUAUU